rnacentral:rRNA from 1 species
UACGGGGGGGCAAGCGUUGUUCGGAAUUACUGGGCGUAAAGGGCUCGUAGGUGGCCAACUAAGUCAGACGUGAAAUCCCCAGGCUCAACCUGGGAACUGCGUCUGAUACUGGAUGGCUUGAAUCCGGGAGAGGGAUGCAGAAUUCCAGGUGUAGCGGUGAAAUGCGUAGAUAUCUGGAGGAAUACCGGUGGCGAAGGCGGCAUCCUGGACCGGCAUUGACGCUGAGGAGCGAAAGCCAGGGGAGCAAACGGG